CGGCCUUUUCGCCGUAGUUGUGCGAUGGAGGUGGGUUGGCUUUGCGGCCGGGGCCGGUGGCUGGCGGUAGGGGCAAAUAAGGAGCUAGAGCCCUUCUGAUCUCUGGAGAGGCGUCUCCGGGAAGCUUAGCUGGAGGGCGGGGGCGGCCGCGGCAACGGCAUGUCUCCCGCGCCUGCGCUCACGUGGGCUGCGGGGCCUGCGCUGCGGCGGGCGCUCGGCCGUCUCGCAGGGGGGACCCAGCCACCGUGGGCCGGGGCUCAUGGAGCGCGUGUUUUUCCGGCACGGCCACCGCCGCAGUAGCCUGGGAUCCGCGAAGGCCGGGACUCGGUUAUCCGGCCCGCCGUGGGAAGUGGGCAAACGCGAGAGAACUGGUUGGCGAACGCACUGCAGAGUGAAAUCAGGGUAACCAUGAGGUUGCAAAUUGGUGAAGGAUCACCAGCAUGUUCAGUCGCUGAGUAUUGGACACAGGAGCAGUG